rnacentral:rRNA from 1 species
AUUGAACGCUGGCGGCAUGCCUUACACAUGCAAGUCGAACGGCAGCACGGGUGCUUGCACCUGGUGGCGAGUGGCGAACGGGUGAGUAAUACAUCGGAACGUACCUUAUCGUGGGGGAUAACGCAGCGAAAGCUGUGCUAAUACCGCAUACGCCCUGAGGGGGAAAGCGGGGGAUCGCAAGACCUCGCGCGAUUAGAGCGGCCGAUGCCUGAUUAGCUUGUUGGUGGGGUAAAAGCCCACCAAGGCGACGAUCAGUAGCUGGUCUGCGAGGACGAUCAGCCACACUGGGACGGAGACACGGCCCGGACUCCUACGGGAGGCAGCAGUGGGGAAUUUUGGACAAGGGGGGCAACCCUGAUCCAGCAAUGCCGCGUGAGUGAAGAAGGCCUUCGGGUUGUAAAGCUCUUUUGUCAGGGAAGAAACACCGGCUCUAACACAGUCCGGGAAUGACGGUACCUGAAGAAUAAGCACCGGCUAACUACGUGCCAGCAGCCGCGGUAA